UAAUACUGACAUGAAAUAGGAAAUACUACAAAGUAAGUUACUGAGUUCAGUGGGCAGGUAUAUCAUUAAUAAACUUGAAGGGGAAAAUGAACAAUAAGUUACACUGAGUUCAUCUGACAGAUAAACCAUUCAUAAAACUGAAAUGGAAAAUGGAACUGUGCUCUGAUAUCUAAGGAAAAUCAUAGUGCUUCUGAAAAGAAAAUAGAUAAUUCAAGAAGACUACAAUAAAACAGAACAAAGGCAAAAGAAGCAAUAUUAUGAUCAAGAAAAAUGGAAAAAAUGUUAAGACAAAUGCAAGGUUUUAUACGUGGCAAAAGGGAGGGGGAAAUCUGGAAGUAGAGCUGGGUGAAUUUUUUUUUUUUGCUUCAGCCAGGACAUCGAAAAUUCCAAAAGAAUAUUCGGUUCAAUUCCAAAAAUGUUUGGAAGCUGUAGAACACUUGGCCCAGAGGCUGGUUCCUUGGAGUACUGUUCUCAACCCCUUUCUGGGCUCUGUUCCUUGGGUUCUUCCCUGCUCCAGUGCCGAGCCAAGGGUUUGGAGAAAUUCCUGAUACUAACCUCCAGUAACUGUCCAGUUCAGAGUGAAAUACAAAAUCAGAGUCUGGAAACAUGAGCCAUUGCGUAUACAAUUCAGUUCAUUCAGCACUAACAUGUGGCAGAGGAAAAUUAACUUCCCUCAGUCCACUCUAUGCCUGUUCCUUGCAAGACUUUGAAGAAGCCAUUGUCCCAAAUAGAGAGGAGGGGAGGAGAGAGCUAGAUUUGUCCCACCUAUGGAUAGAGGUGCAGCGCCCAGUCUCCAAACCUGCUUGAUACCUAGAGAGUCUCUCUGGCCUUUGCCAUGGCAACCAACACUUCAGAGGCAGUAAGUGGAAAAAGCAAUACAGGCUGUGGAGAGUCCCCUACUCUGCCUACUCCUUUUCCUGGCCUGCCCAGUCUCUGACCACUGCUGUAGCAAUGACCCUGGACGUCACAAAGAGUGGUCCACUGUGUCUGAGCUGGGAGACUGCUAUGGAGACAGCUGAUCCACCCUUCCAUGUACAAGCUGAAGGAUUUGCAUGUGUAGAGCCUCUCGGUGUGUGGACUUAAGGGGAAAAUAAUCUGGUCUAAUCUAUUUGCUUGCACUUAAUUCAUCUAAAUGGGUCCGGAGGAGGAAUUUAAAGAAGUAGUAGUAACUUUCUGGAUACAUUCAGGAAAAGUAUUCCAUGCAUAGUGGAAGGCGCAAAUGUGUUCAGGGCUCUGAAAUAGCAUGCACAUGCCUAUAAGCCAGGCCAAUAGGCUUAUAAGCCUUCCAUCUUACCCUGCCCCAAUUUUCUCCUGUCAGCACCAAUGUCCAAACAGAGAUAGUGGCAUGAAAAUUCAAAACUUCAGCCACAUGAGACUGAGUAUAAGAGCCUCAGGACUGGCUAGCUGCUUUGUUGCACUUUGGUAGGAGGUGCCACCUACAGAGGGAGCCUUGUGACAGUAGCUAUAGCAGAAGCUGAGGGCAUAGCCGGAGUCCAUCCCUUCCUCAGUGGAACGGCGGCAGCAGCAGUCAGAAGGGUAGGAACUGGAGAAGGAUGUUCUGGAGAAAGAGGUCCAAAGAAAUGAGUCUGUAGCAGUAGAGGACUGUCUGAUAUCUGCAUGUAGCAACUCAGGAACAUUUCCUGGAGACUGCAAGAAUAGUAGCAGCUAUCCAGGGGGAGAAGUAGCCAGGAAGAAGAGAGUGCACCCAUAUGAGGGAUGUGAGUCACCAGGGCAUCAAACUGAGGAGUCUGAGGGAUGAUAUUACAAAGGUCUAAAUGAAAUACUAUGAGUGAUGUACGUUUGCCACAUUUGGCAUCAUUCUUUAAAAUUCUGUCUUGGUGCUACCUGGUGUGAAAAGAUGAUGAAUGGGCAGAAAAGGCUGGCAUCAUAUUGACAAAUUCAGACUGGAAAUAAAGCAUAUAUUGUCAACAGUGAGGGCAAUUAACCAUUGGAACCAUUUAUCAAAGGUCAUGGUGGAUUCUCCAUCACCAGCAAUGUUUCAAUCAAGAUGGGAUAUUUUUCUAAACUCUACUCUAGGAAUUAUUUUGAGGAAGUUCUCUGGCCUGUGUUUGUACUCGAGGUUAGACUAGAUGAUCACAGUAGUCUCUUCUGGCCUUGGAAUCUAUGAAUCAUUGACAGAGGAUGCAAAAGGGUUGAAUUACCUACAGAUGUAAUUACACUUCAGUUAAGUAUUUAAAACAGGGCAGUAUUUUGUGGAUGACUAGCAGUGGUGGUAGAAAACCAUUUUUUUUUGUCAAGACCUUUUCUUUCAGAGUUAAAAAAACAAACUGGACAUUUAAUCUUAAAGUAAUCUCAUGCUCCUGGGCAACUUUAGAAUUUUCUUUUGAAUCCAAAAUGUCAAAUCUGAAAUGGUAAAGUCAUUUCUGGGGGAAAAAUCCAAGCUUCCGAUAGGAAUCUAUGGAAAAUCAUUCUGUGUUUCUAUUUCUGUUCAAUUUUACUAAUGUAAAUGUAUGGCUUUUUUAUACUAUAUCAUAAAGACUAAUUACAUUAGCAAAUUCAUUUAUGGGCCAGAUUUUAACAUCAGUCUUUUUCACAGAACUCCCAUUGAUGUAAAUGGUUUGCUGAAAAAUGAUUGUAAGAGAAAUAAGUUCAUGCUAUAGGUAUGAUACCAGUAUAAUACAAAAUAAAUCAAAUAGCUGUG